rnacentral:rRNA from 1 species
GAUGAACGCUAGCGGCAGGCUUAAUACAUGCAAGUCGAGGGGCAGAAGGUCCCGCAGCAAUGCGGGAUGCUGGCGACCGGCAAACGGGUGCGGAACACGUACAGAACCUUCCUUUAAGUGGGGAAUAGCCCGGGGAAACCCGGAUUAAUACCCCGUAACAUAAUGAAGUUGCAAAACUUUAUCAUUAUAGCAGCAAGGCGCUUGAAGAUGGCUGGGCGGCUGAUUAGGUAGUUGGCGGGGUAACGGCCCACCAAGCCUACGAUCAGUAACUGGUGUGAGAGCACGACAAGUCACACGGGCACUGAGACACGGGCCCGACUCCUACGGGAGGCAGCAGUAAGGAAUAUUGGGCAAUGGACGUAAGUCUGACCCAGCCAUGUCGCGUGGAGGAUGAAGGUCCUCUGGAUUGUAAACUUCUUUUAUCUGGGAAGAAAUCUAUUUUUUCUAAAGUAGUUGACGGUACCAGAUGAAUAAGCACCGGCUAACUCCGUGCCAGCCGCCGCGGUAA